rnacentral:rRNA from 1 species
CCUACGGGAGGCAGCAGUGGGGAAUAUUGCACAAUGGGGGAAACCCUGAUGCAGCGACGCCGCGUGAGUGAAGAAGGCUUUCGGUACGUAAAGCUCUAUCAGCAGGGAAGAAAAUGACGGUACCUGACUAAGAAGCCCCGGCUAACUACGAACCAGCAGCCGCGGCAAUACGGCGGGGGCAAGCGUUAUCCGGAUUUAAUGGGUGUAAAGGGAGUGUAGAAGGGAGCGCAAGUAUGGAGUGAAAUCCCAGGGCUUAACCAUGGAACUGCAUUCGAAACUGGGCGGCGGGAGUGCGGGAGAGGUAAGCGGAAUGCCUGGUGUAGCGGGGAAAUGCGUAGAUAUUAGGAGGAACACCGAUGGCGAAGGCGGCUUACUGGACUGUAACUGACGUUGAGGCUCGAAAGCGUGGGGAGCAAACAGGAUUAGAUACCCUUGUAGUC